rnacentral:tRNA from 1 species
GGUGGCUCAGUGGUAGACCGCUUGCCUUGCAAGCAUGAGGCUCUGGGUUCGAUUCCUCAGCACCA